rnacentral:rRNA from 1 species
UCAGUGUGUGUGUUAGUGGAAGCGUCUGGAAAGGCGCGCGAUACAGGGUGACAGCCCCGUACACAAAAAUGCACAUGCUGUGAGCUCGAUGAGUAGGGCGGGACACGUGGUAUCCUGUCUGAAUAUGGGGGGACCAUCCUCCAAGGCUAAAUACUCCUGACUGACCGAUAGUGAACCAGUACCGUGAGGGAAAGGCGAAAAGAACCCCGGCGAGGGGAGUGAAAAAGAACCUGAAACCGUGUACGUACAAGCAGUGGGAGCACGCUUAGGCGUGUGACUGCGUACCUUUUGUAUAAUGGGUCAGCGACUUAUAUUCUGUAGCAAGGUUAACCGAAUAGGGGAGCCGAAGGGAAACCGAGUCUUAACUGGGCGUUAAGUUGCAGGGUAUAGACCCGAAACCCGGUGAUCUAGCCAUGGGCAGGUUGAAGGUUGGGUAACACUAACUGGAGGACCGAACCGACUAAUGUUGAAAAAUUAGCGGAUGACUUGUGGCUGGGGGUGAAAGGCCAAUCAAACCGGGAGAUAGCUGGUUCUCCCCGAAAGCUAUUUAGGUAGCGCCUCGUGAAUUCAUCUCCGGGGGUAGAGCACUGUUUCGGCAAGGGGGUCAUCCCGACUUACCAACCCGAUGCAAACUGCGAAUACCGGAGAAUGUUAUCACGGGAGACACACGGCGGGUGCUAACGUCCGUCGUGAAGAGGGAAACAACCCAGACCGCCAGCUAAGGUCCCAAAGUCAUGGUUAAGUGGGAAACGAUGUGGGAAGGCCCAGACAGCCAGGAUGUUGGCUUAGAAGCAGCCAUCAUUUAAAGAAAGCGUAAUAGCUCACUGGUCGAGUCGGCCUGCGCGGAAGAUGUAACGGGGCUAAACCAUGCACCGAAGCUGCGGCAGCGACGCUGAUGCGUUGUUGGGUAGGGGAGCGUUCUGUAAGCCUGCGAAGGUGUGCUGUGAGGCAUGCUGGAGGUAUCAGAAGUGCGAAUGCUGACAUAAGUAACGAUAAAGCGGGUGAAAAGCCCGCUCGCCGGAAGACCAAGGGUUCCUGUCCAACGUUAAUCGGGGCAGGGUGAGUCGACCCCUAAGGCGAGGCCGAAAGGCGUAGUCGAUGGGAAACAGGUUAAUAUUCCUGUACUUGGUGUUACUGCGAAGGGGGGACGGAGAAGGCUAUGUUGGCCGGGCGACGGUUGUCCCGGUUUAAGCGUGUAGGCUGGUUUUCCAGGCAAAUCCGGAAAAUCAAGGCUGAGGCGUGAUGACGAGGCACUACGGUGCUGAAGCAACAAAUGCCCUGCUUCCAGGAAAAGCCUCUAAGCAUCAGGUAACAUCAAAUCGUACCCCAAACCGACACAGGUGGUCAGGUAGAGAAUACCAAGGCGCUUGAGAGAACUCGGGUGAAGGAACUAGGCAAAAUGGUGCCGUAACUUCGGGAGAAGGCACGCUGAUAUGUAGGUGAAGCGACUUGCUCGUGGAGCUGAAAUCAGUCGAAGAUACCAGCUGGCUGCAACUGUUUAUUAAAAACACAGCACUGUGCAAACACGAAAGUGGACGUAUACGGUGUGACGCCUGCCCGGUGCCGGAAGGUUAAUUGAUGGGGUUAGCGCAAGCGAAGCUCUUGAUCGAAGCCCCGGUAAACGGCGGCCGUAACUAUAACGGUCCUAAGGUAGCGAAAUUCCUUGUCGGGUAAGUUCCGACCUGCACGAAUGGCGUAAUGAUGGCCAGGCUGUCUCCACCCGAGACUCAGUGAAAUUGAACUCGCUGUGAAGAUGCAGUGUACCCGCGGCAAGACGGAAAGACCCCGUGAACCUUUACUAUAGCUUGACACUGAACAUUGAGCCUUGAUGUGUAGGAUAGGUGGGAGGCUUUGAAGUGUGGACGCCAGUCUGCAUGGAGCCGACCUUGAAAUACCACCCUUUAAUGUUUGAUGUUCUAACGUUGACCCGUGAUCCGGGUUGCGGACAGUGUCUGGUGGGUAGUUUGACUGGGGCGGUCUCCUCCUAAAGAGUAACGGAGGAGCACGAAGGUUGGCUAAUCCUGGUCGGACAUCAGGAGGUUAGUGCAAUGGCAUAAGCCAGCUUGACUGCGAGCGUGACGGCGCGAGCAGGUGCGAAAGCAGGUCAUAGUGAUCCGGUGGUUCUGAAUGGAAGGGCCAUCGCUCAACGGAUAAAAGGUACUCCGGGGAUAACAGGCUGAUACCGCCCAAGAGUUCAUAUCGACGGCGGUGUUUGGCACCUCGAUGUCGGCUCAUCACAUCCUGGGGCUGAAGUAGGUCCCAAGGGUAUGGCUGUUCGCCAUUUAAAGUGGUACGCGAGCUGGGUUUAGAACGUCGUGAGACAGUUCGGUCCCUAUCUGCCGUGGGCGCUGGAGAACUGAGGGGGGCUGCUCCUAGUACGAGAGGACCGGAGUGGACGCAUCACUGGUGUUCGGGUUGUCAUGCCAAUGGCACUGCCCGGUAGCUAAAUGCGGAAGAGAUAAGUGCUGAAAGCAUCUAAGCACGAAACUUGCCCCGAGAUGAGUUCUCCCUGACUCCUUGAGAGUCCUGAAGGAACGUUGAAGACGACGACGUUGAUAGGCCGGGUGUGUAAGCGCAGCGAUGCGUUGAGCUAACCGGUACUAAUGAACCGUGAG